AACAUGCAAGUCUAGGGGGUGCAGCAAUGCAUCACCGGCGGACGGGUGCGUAACACGUGGGAAUAUACCUUUUGGUUCGGAACAACUGAGGGAAACUUCAGCUAAUACCGAAUGUGUCCUUGCGGAGAAAGAUUUAUCGCCAAAGGAUUAGCCCGCGUCCGAUUAGCUAGUUGGUGGGGUAAUGGCCUACCAAGGCAACGAUCGGUAGCUGUUCUGAGAGGAAGAUCAGCCACACUGGGACUGAGACACGGCCCAGACUCCUACGGGAGGCAGCAGUUGGGAAUCUUGGACAAUGGGGGGAACCCUGAUCCAGCCAUGCCGCGUGAGUGAUGAAGGCCUUCGGGUUGUAAAACUCUUUCGACGGGGACGAUAAUGACGGUACCCGUAUAAGAAGCUCCGGCU
rnacentral:rRNA from 1 species